CAGUAGCCGCGGGAAUACGGAGGGUGCAAGCGUUAAUCGGAAUUACUGGGCGUAAAGCGUGCGUAGGCGGUUCGUUAAGUCUGUUGUGAAAGCCCCGGGCUCAACCUGGGAAUGGCAAUGGAUACUGGCGAGCUAGAGUGUGUCAGAGGAUGGUGGAAUUCCCGGUGUAGCGGUGAAAUGCGUAGAGAUCGGGAGGAACAUCAGUGGCGAAGGCGGCCAUCUGGGACAACACUGACGCUGAGGCACGAAAGCGUGGGGAGCAAACAGGAUUAGAUACCCCCGUAGUCCCUGUCUCUUAUAA
rnacentral:rRNA from 1 species